GCCUGAUCAUUACUUGCCGUUUUCCCCUCUUCUCCGCAUUGUACAUGCUCUUGAGUGCAUCAUUCAAAACGCUCACCCUCACCAUUUUUUAAAUACAAGCUUCUCCUGUUCAGAUGAAAUAAGUAGCAGUUAUUGCAUCCAUACUCAAAUCUCAA